UACAGGGGGUGCAAACGUUGCUCGGAAUUAUUGGGCGUAAAGGGCUCGUAGGCGGUCUGUCACGUCGGGAGUGAAAACUCAGGGCUUAACCCUGAGCCUGCUUCCGAUACGGGCAGACUAGAGGUAUGCAGGGGAGAACGGAAUUCCUGGUGUAGCGGUGAAAUGCGCAGAUAUCAGGAGGAACACCGGUGGCGAAGGCGGUUCUCUGGGCAUUACCUGACGCUGAGGAGCGAAAGUGUGGGGAGCGAACAGG
rnacentral:rRNA from 1 species